rnacentral:lncRNA from 1 species
ACCCUCAGGCUGUCCAAAGACUUGCAUAUCUAUAUACAUAACCCUUUCGGAUGGGAGACGCAUAGGGUUACGCGACUUUGACAUUUAAACUACAAGUGUCAUCGGCUCGAUGGCUGGGACAAAGCAAAAGGGGAAGGCGAGAUAGAGGGAGAUGCUCACUGUAGACGAAGUAGUCGAAGUAGACGGACGGCGGCGAGGUUGGUGUCACUCCUACAUGAACCAUAUAGUUAUAUAAGAAUCAUGAAUACACACAUCCAGCCAUCAUGCAACUAAUAAUCAUACAUGCAAAAGAAACAACUUUGUACAAAUCAUAUCUUCCCGUAAGCAUACAUAUCAAAGCAUUAUGCCACAUCCAUCAUUUAACAAUGUUUAUCACAUAUAUUGCAACAAUCUUCUAUAAUGUUAAACCCUAAGUAACAGUUAUACAAACCCUAAACCCUAACCCUCUAAACCGUAAACCCUAACCCAACCCUUAAACCCUAACCCUAUCCUAAACCCUAAGUAACAGUUAUACAAACUUAAUUACAGUUAUGCAUACAAAUAAAGCUACUAUAUGCAUAUAAACUAUAAAUGCACAAGAUAUUGAAAUGGGCGGCAAUUCACCGACUGAAUCGGGUUGCAUUUCCAAAUUAGCCAGGAUAUUGAAAUGGGCGGCAAUUCAAUUUGCACUCCAGAGGGCAUCACAUAAAAAUUAGACAAAAGCUCAUCACAACAAUUACCAUUACCUUGGACUGCCCCGCCUAGAAUCAGAGCCUGCUUCAACUGACCUGCAAAUCAACAAAAGAAAGGGUUAGAACAAUAGACGCGUGUGCAGCCAAGAGGGGAUUAGGGGUUCGGAAAUCCCAAAUCCCAAACUAACCUGCAAAGCAACAAGCAAAAAAGAAAGAAAAGAAAACUCACCAGAGGGGGCCGGCGGGGAGGAGGUU